GAAGAAAAUUAAAUUUCAUUGCAAGAGAGAUGGUUGCUUCAACUUUGAGGGGCUCUGAGUGUGACAAAAGUCUGGAACUCACUGCCUGGAAGGGUGAUAGACACAAAGUGUUGGAGCAACAUCAGCGGGUCAGGCAACAUCUCUGGAGAAAAGGAACUGGUGACGUUUCAUGUCGGAACCCUUCUUGUCAAGGAUCUGUGCUGUAUUUAUUGCCCAGCACUACUUGCCCUUGAGAAGAUUUCGAUCGGUGCAUGGUUUUGCAAGGGAUGGAGAGAUAUGGAUCACGUGCAGGCUGAUGACAUUAGUUUCUCUCGGCAUUAUGUUCGGCACGGACAUUGUGGGCAGAAGGGUCUGUUUCUGUGCUGUACCUUUCUAUGUUCUAUCCAGAAGAACUUUCUAUAAUCCUCAAAUCGUGACACAAUAUGUGUAAAGUCUGGAUAUGUGUUUGAUCACUGACACAGCCACGAUCUCUGCAACAGCAUCUUUCAGGAUGUUGUGAACCAGACUAUCACGUCUGAGAAUCUGUUGGUUUCAAUCUCUUUCUACUUUCAUUAGCACUUUCCUGAUGUCAAACACUUGGUCUAGUUCUGCUUCUGCCACUUUUAUUGUGUUUUCUGCAGCAGACUUAUAAAAAUACUUGUUGACAGUUUCAGCGAUUCCUUUAUUCACCAUAUUGCUUUAUUCUCUGAUGUCUUGAUGGGACCCACAUUUGUGUUUGCUACUCUGUUAGGUUUUCACUUCACAGUAGAUGCUUAUGUGUUUUAAAAUAUUCCUUGCUAAUUUACUGCUGGGUUUUCGCUGUUGCUUGCUUCUUAAAAUUCUCCCAAUCAUUUAACUUAUUGUUCUUAUCGGCAAUAAUGUAAAACUAUUAACCCUUUAGUUGUCCACGAAUCCAUCACUGCUUGUGUCUUUAUUUGUUAGCUAAAUGAAAAUUCACUAAAAAUGUGUUGCAUACACUUCAAAUGUUUGCUGUUGUUUGUCUCCAGGUAAACAAUGUCCAAUUUCCCAAAUUACCUUAGCUUACGUACAACUCAUGGCCACUAAAUUAGCUUCAUUUAAAUUCAAGACUUUACUUUCUGACUCAACAGUGUCUCUCAAAAUGCACAAAACGUUAACAUGAUAACAUUUCACUAAUAUUAUGAGAUUACUGAUAAGGAUUGCUAUUUUUUUUUAAAUUCCUGACUUAUUUAAUUACCUUGUUUUAAAUUCCACUGCAGCAAAAUGGUGAGAUUUCAAUUCUUGACUUAAUAAUGUGAUUGAACUGUUUUGCCGUUAUUCGGCUUAUUCUAUUCAUGAUUAGCUUUUUGUUUAUUUAAUUUUCUCUCAACUUGUUGCUAUUGGUAACGGAGGGAAUGCUAUAAAUAAUAAUAAAUUAUAAUAACUGGUGAUUUUUCUAUUAUCUCUUAUCAUUUCCAUUAUUUUUCUGUCCCAUUGUCACUUAUCUUCUUUAUUUACAGUAAGAGCUGCACCACUGCAUCCCUUCUAUUACCCCAUUAUCCCAGCUCCAACCCCCAUCACGACCUUUUGCAUUUUGUCUGUCUAAACUAGGAGCAAAACUAACAAUGAGUGAAGUAUAACCAGUGACCAUCAUUGAUUAAAUUGCUAAUGACCAACUUUGAUCAACCAUGUAUUUGCAAGGGAUUUGAGGUCAACAGCUAUGACAGAACCAUUGUACUGUCUCUGUUAAGGGCCUGUCCCAUGAGCAUGCGACCAAACCGGAAGCGGGGGCCGCGCGGAGAUCGAGUGAUCCCCGUACAGGGCCGGUCCCACCAGCAUGCGCCUGCAUGCGGCGAGCGUGACCAAACCGGAAGCGGGGGCCGCGCGGAGGUCGAGUGAGUGACGUGAAGUUCGAGCGAAGUCCGCGGGAAGUUCGCGCGUGACGUACAGCGUCAAGACGCUGCGUACGGCGUCGAGACACUGCG